rnacentral:ncRNA from 17 species
GAUCAUUGAGGUGGGAAAGGUUCCCCACGCGCUUGCUGAAAAGCAAGUUACCAGAGAUCAGGAUACGCCGCCCUGCUAUGAUC